rnacentral:rRNA from 1 species
ACAACAUUUGGAAACAGAUGCUAAUACCGCAUAACAGCGUUGUUCGCAUGAACAACGCUUAAAAGAUGGCUUCUCGCUAUCACUUCUGGAUGGACCUGCGGUGCAUUAGCUUGUUGGUGGGGUAACGGCCUACCAAGGCGAUGAUGCAUAGCCGAGUUGAGAGACUGAUCGGCCACAAUGGGACUGAGACACGGCCCAUACUCCUACGGGAGGCAGCAGUAGGGAAUCUUCCACAAUGGGCGCAAGCCUGAUGGAGCAACACCGCGUGAGUGAAGAAGGGUUUCGGCUCGUAAAGCUCUGUUGUUAAAGAAGAACACGUAUGAGAGUAACUGUUCAUACGUUGACGGUAUUUAACCAGAAAGUCACGGCUAACUACGUGCCAGCAGCCGCGGUAAUACGUAGGUGGCAAGCGUUAUCCGGAUUUAUUGGGCGUAAAGAGAGUGCAGGCGGUUUUCUAAGUCUGAUGUGAAAGCCUUCGGCUUAACCGGAGAAGUGCAUCGGAAACUGGAUAACUUGAGUGCAGAAGAGGGUAGUGGAACUCCAUGUGUAGCGGUGGAAUGCGUAGAUAUAUGGAAGAACACCAGUGGCGAA